UGCAGUGUAGCUCAGCAGGUAGAGCGCUUGCCUAGCAGGCACGACGUCCUGGGAUGGAUCCCAGCACUGCAU
rnacentral:tRNA from 1 species